AAAUAUAUAUAUUUUUUUUUGUAGUGGUUAAGGUUUCCUCAAGUGGGCCUCGAAUUUACCAAGAUUAAUAUUUUUGAAUGAUAUUCAGGCAGCGCCGAGUUUUGUAGUCGAAAAGUAUAAUGUGUAGAUUUUGUUGCAAAAUUCCAACAAGUUUAUUUUUAUCAACAAUUGAACGUUUUUGCACUGUUUUGGAAAUUUCUAUUUCUUUUCAAAGUGUCCGAAUGAAAAA